UACCACGUAGCUCAGUUGGCAGAGCAUUGGACUAGUAUCCCAAAGGUCGCGGGUUCGAUUCCCACCGUGGCCA